UGAGGAAUAUUGCGCAAUGGGGGCAACCCUGACGCAGCAACGCCGCGUGAGUGAGGAAGGUUUUCGGACCGUAAAGCUCUGUCUAGAGGGAAGAAACCAUUGAGGUCGAACAGGCCUCUUUGCUGACGGUACCUCUGAAGGAAGCACCGGCUAACUCCGUGCCAGCAGCCGCGGUAAUACGGAGGGUGCGAGCGUUAAUCGGAAUCACUGGGCGUAAAGCGUACGUAGGCGGUUUGGUAAGUCUGAUGUGAAAUCCCCCGACUUAAUCGAGGAAGUGCAUUGGAAACUACUAGACUAGAGUAUAGGAUGGGAGAACGGAAUUCCUGGUGUAGAGGUGAAAUUCGUAGAUAUCAGGAGGAACAACGGUGGCGAAGGCGGUUCUCUGGACUAUUACUGACGCUGAGUGUACGAAAGCGUGGGGAGCAAACG
rnacentral:rRNA from 1 species